rnacentral:rRNA from 1 species
CGGCGGACGGGUGAGUAACGCGUGGGGAACCUGCCCUAUACAGGGGGAUAACAGUUAGAAAUGACUGCUAAUACCGCAUAAGCGCACGGAGCCGCAUGGCGCUGAGUGAAAAACGAUAGUGGUAUAGGAGGGACCCGCGUCUGAUUAGGUAGUUGGUGGGGUAACGGCCAACCAAGCCGACGAUCAGUAGCCGACCUGAGAGGGUGACCGGCCACAUUGGGACUGAGACACGGCCCAAACUCCUACGGAAGGCAGCAG